UCCAUGGGUUAUUAAUUGGAUUGUAUAUACUGUGCAACUGGUCUUUGGGACGAGACAUAACAACACACGCACAGUGAUCUCUGAUCUAUGCUCUCUCUCAAUUAGGAUUUCAGUGUUCUAGUUUUCCAUCACAUGUGUAUUCAUCUGUUCUUGAUAGUUCUUGUGAGAGUAGAUUUAGAUGAGAGUAGUGUAGGCAUAUGUAGUGAGGUUUUUGUGUAAAAGUAGUUCAAACGAACUGAUCUAUCAUUAAUAAAUAGAUUCUUCGUGUUGGGAAAUUGAUUUUGUCAAGUUUUUCAUGGUAUCAGAGCGAGGUGAUUUCGUCUGAACUGUUCAAUCACUCGUUUGGUUUUUCCGCUUUGAUCGAUGGCGUUUAAAGGGUUUCACUUUCUUUGUUCCUUUAUUUUGGCUUUAAGAUCUCGGUUACUGCGACUUUGUGUUCCAUUUACAGAUUGGUUGCUUCGGUAUUUCUUCAAUAUAUCGACGUUCGACGAAAUCUGUAAAAUCCGAUUAACUCUUUAGAGAACGGAACCUAGAAGUUUUGAAUAACUCUGAAGAGAAUAGAUUCAUUCUUAUCUGAUAAACUCUUUUAGAGAACAAAACCAAGAAGUUUUGAUAUUACUCUAAGAGAUUUGUCUCACAUUCUCUGGUAAUUUGUGGGUAUGUGUCUCUGAGCUUUGUUGAUUUUUCAUUGCAGUUUGUCGAAGACUAAAAUUUCAUUUAGAUUAUAUAGGAUAACACAAAACUUCAAUGGAUCGCAACUUCUUCAUACGAAGUCAGAUUUAAACGUUCCUUAUACCCAUAGAACUGUCAUUGCGACAUAAGAGUAUUAUUAUUAUAAGAAUGACUAGCAUCCAUGUCAAGUUAAAGAAUUGUUGAUGUUUCUAACUAAGGUGGAGUUUUAUUCUAUAUUCUUCAUCAACUUUCUAAUUGCUAAAAGGAACAAAAGUCUUCAAAGGUUGUAAAUUUCUUUUAUCGUUUGGUUAUGUUUUAAGUUUUCCAAGUUUUGGAAAAUGAUCAUUGGUGGGUAAAAUGGUUUUAGUUUAUUCAAAUUUAUAAAAUGCUUAUGUUGAUAAUUA